CCUGCGGAAGGAUCAUUACCGAGUGCGGGCCCCUCGGGGCCCAACCUCCCACCCGUGUUGCCCGAACCUAUGUUGCCUCGGCGGGCCCCGCGCCCGCCGACGGCCCCCCUGAACGCUGUCUGAAGUUGCAGUCUGAGACCUAUAACGAAAUUAGUUAAAACUUUCAACAACGGAUCUCUUGGUUCCGGCAUCGAUGAAGAACGCAGCGAAAUGCGAUAACUAAUGUGAAUUGCAGAAUUCAGUGAAUCAUCGAGUCUUUGAACGCACAUUGCGCCCUCUGGUAUUCCGGAGGGCAUGCCUGUCCGAGCGUCAUUGCUGCCCUCAAGCCCGGCUUGUGUGUUGGGCCCCGUCCCCCCCGCCGGGGGGACGGGCCCGAAAGGCAGCGGCGGCACCGCGUCCGGUCCUCGAGCGUAUGGGGCUUCGUCACCCGCUCUAGUAGGCCCGGCCGGCGCCAGCCGACCCCCAACCUUUAAUUAUCUCAGG
rnacentral:rRNA from 1 species